rnacentral:rRNA from 1 species
UACAGAGGUCUCAAGCGUUGUUCGGAUUCAUUGGGCGUAAAGGGUGCGUAGGUGGCGGGGUAAGCCAGGUGUGAAAUCUCGAGGCUCAACCUCGAAACUGCACUUGAUACUGCCUUGCUCGAGUACUGGAGAGGAGAUUGGAAUUUACGGUGUAGCAGUGAAAUGCGUAGAUAUCGUAAGGAAGACCAGUGGCGAAGGCGAAUCUCUGGACAGUUACUGACACUGAGGCACGAAGGCCAGGGGAGCAAACGGG